UACGAAGGGUGCAAGCGUUACUCGGAAUUACUGGGCGUAAAGGGUGCGUAGGUGGUUUUUUAAGUCCGUUGUGAAAUCCCUGGGCUCAACCUGGGAAUGGCAGUGGAUACUGGAAAGCUAGAGUGCGGUAGAGGGUAGUGGAAUUCCCGGUGUAGCAGUGAAAUGCGUAGAUAUCGAGAGGAACACCAGUGGCGAAGGCGAGUCCCUGGACAACACCUGACACUGAGGCACGAAAGCUAGGGGAGCAAACAGG
rnacentral:rRNA from 1 species